ensembl:lncRNA
CUUUAUUUAACCAGGUAGGCUAGUUGAGAACACCUUUAUUUAACCAGGUAGGCUAGUUGAGAACACCUUUAUUUAACCAGGUAGGCUAGUUGAGAACACCUUUAUUUAACCAGGUAGGCUAGUUGAGAACAAACGUUCUCAUUUACAACUGCGACCUGGUCAAGAUAAAGCAAAAGCAGUGUGACAAAAACAACGACACAGAGUUACACAUGGAAUAAAACAAACGUACAGUCAAUAACACCAUAGAAAAAUCUACCCUGCAGUACUCUCCCAGUCAGGUUUGUGGUGCUGCCGGGGAGCGUCAUCACACCAUCCCCCCCCCCUAGUGGUUAGAGUGUAGAGGAGGCAGGUAGCCUAGUGGUUAGAGUGUAGAGGUGGCAGGUAGUCUAGUGGUUAGAGUGUAGAGGAGGCAGGUAGCCUAGUGGUUAGAGUGUAGAGGAGGCAGGUAGCCUAGUGGUUAGAGUGUAG